UAUACGGUGGAUCUUAUAGCCAAAUGGAUGAUGACUAUGGAUAGACGAGGCCAAAUAUAUUUCAUUCCUUGGAUUGUUGAUCGACAUUGGAUGUUGGUGCUCGUGAUGAUGCGGGGGAUGACCAUAAUUUUGGACCCUUUAAAAAAUCAUAAAUCUCCACCAAUAAUUACGGAGGUUAUGGAAAAAGCAUACGCACAAUGUUUGGAAAAUGAAUACAUCGGCACAUUUACAAAAUUGGUGAGAGGUUCUUGUCCAAAACAACCUGAAAGUCAUGAAUGUGGUUAUUAUGUACUAAGAUACAUUUAUGAUCUUGUAAAUGCACCGAAUCCAGCAGAAGUUAUCAAGA